rnacentral:rRNA from 1 species
UAGCCGUAAACGAUACUCGCUAGGUGUCGGCCACGGUGCGACCGUUGUCGGUGCCGUAGGGAAGCCGUGAAGCGAGCCACCUGGGAAGUACGGCCGCAAGGCUGAAACUUAAAGGAAUUGGCGGAGGAGCACCACAACGGGUGGAGCUUGCGGUUUAAUUGGAUUCAACGCCGGAAAUCUUACCGGGACCGACAGCAACAUGAAGGCCAGGCUGAAGACUUUGCCGGAUUAGCUGAGAGGUGGUGCAUGGCGUAGUCGUGU